rnacentral:misc_RNA from 1 species
GAUGAAGAACGUAGCGAAAUGCGAUACGUAGUGUGAAUUGCAGAAUUCAGUGAAUCAUCGAAUCUUUGAACGCACAUUGCACCUCUCGGUAUUCCGGGAGGUAUGCCUGUUCGAGCGUCAUUUGUACCCUCAAGCUCUGCUUGGUGUUGGGUGUUUGUUCCGCCUCUGUGUGUGAACUCGCCUCAAAACAAUUGGCAGCCGGCGUACUUGUUUCGGAGCGCAGCACAUUUUGCGAUCCAGAUCAACGUACAGCGGCAUCCAAGAAGCCUUAUUUAACGCGCUUGACCUCGGAUCAGGUAGGGAUACCCGCUGAACUUAAGCGUAUCAAUAAGCGGAGGA